rnacentral:lncRNA from 1 species
GGGUGUAAAAAUUUAAUGCUUGAACUGUUCAAUAUUAUUCUUUUAUGAUAUUUUUAAACAGUUUAGAUGCAUCUGGCUAGUGUUAAAUAAAAAACUGCUAUAGUCUGAAUUACAUCUAAUUAAGCAUUUCAACUUUUACUUCUCGCAACUGAUCGUCCCUAGAGCAAGUGGCAAAAGGCUUGGUGGUUGGUAUUCGAGAUCCUAAAUUUAAAUUCUAGUUGAUUAUCAUUUAUAGCUAAGUUUAUUUCUAAAUAAAAUAAACGAAACGAAUAGCAUGCUAUCUAUCUUAAAAAAAAAAAAAAGAAAAGAAAAAAAAAGAAAAAA